GUUCCACUGCAGUGUGAGGAUGACCAAUUUGGUUUCAAUGCGGUUGUGGUUAUAGGAGAAGUCUUUUUUCCUUUACGGAGAUGUACUCCAUUUAUAAGCCAUGACAGACCAAACAACCUUGCAGAAGCAGACAGAGGUCUGGAAAUAAUGAAAUACUGGAUCUGGUGGCAGUAGAUGAACAACCUUUUCCAUUCUUCACUCCAAGACCAUCUGACCAUGUGCAUCUACCGUGUACAUAUCCUAGUGUGAACAACUACCUCACUCAAGAUGUGGAGCCCUCAUGACUGAUCAAGCGUUAGUAUGAACAACCAAACAUGGUGGAUGAGGACAAACAGGAUCGGGAGGAGGACAGAGUUAAAGUGGUGUGAUAUUGCCUGAGCAUCAGCAUAACUGAACAACACAGACAGCAAAAUGAUGUUCAUCAGCAAAGAAAGAGGGUCAGGAAGGGGUGGUUGUCACAACAGCGUGCUAAGUGUUGAUGUCUCACAUCCCGUUAAACAUUUGACCUAAUAUACACAUACUGUAACCUUGCUAUUUUAUUUGCUUCCUGCUCCUGUGUUGUUUAAAUGUAUUGUACAGUUUGUAACGUUCCUGCAAAUAAUUAUAAAACAACUAUUUGAAGUUAAUAAAGAACAGAAAAU